rnacentral:rRNA from 1 species
GACAGCAGCCGCCACGGUAAUACGAAGGGUGCAAGCGUUACUCGGAAUUACUGGGCGUAAAGCGUGCGUAGGUGGUGGUUUAAGUCCGUUGUGAAAGCCCUGGGCUCAACCUGGGAAUUGCAGUGGAUACUGGGUCACUAGAGUGUGGUAGAGGAUAGUGGAAUUUCCGGUGUAGCAGUGAAAUGCGUAGAGAUCGGAAGGAACAUCUGUGGCGAAGGCGACUAUCUGGGCCAACACUGACACUGAGGCACGAAAGCGUGGGGAGCAAACAGGAUUAGAUACCCGUGUAGUCCCUGUCUCUUAUAC